rnacentral:lncRNA from 1 species
AGGGCCAGGAACAGUAGCACACACAAGACAGAAAACAGUUGGGAGGAGGGGUGAGGUGUGGGGUUGAGAGGCCAUUAAUUUAUACAUGUUUACUGAGAGUCCUACUAUGUGUCUGCUCUGCUCAGGUGCCAGGGAGACAAUGAAGCACAAAGCAGAUGAAGCCCAGGCCCUCGUGGAGAUUGUGCACUGGUAGGGGACAUAGGAAACCGGCCAACUAACUGAUGUGUGAUGCACUCGGAGAGGGGAGGAGAUCCCUAGGAUCCUGGACAGCAGGAAGCAGGGCUGGGCCGGGAGCCAGGCCUCCUCUGGAUGCCACACUGCCUGAGGUGUGGGCUCCAGGGUCCCCAUCUCCAGGCUCCACCAGGAAGCCCAAGGCUGUGACUGCAGGUCUCUGGGCUCUGCCCUCCGCAUGCACUAGCAUGACAGACGCUCCCAGCCGCUGGGGUGAAUGCACCCUCACUUGCUCUCUGGACACAGACGGGCUUUCCCACAACCUGAUUUGGGGCAGGGCCGCGAUGAGAGGUAUCCCAUGGGCCUCCCAAAGUCGCCUGGGUGCGGACGAGGCUGAUCACAGCUGGGCUGGGCUAUCGAACAGGAUAGAGAGCCCAGAAAUAAACCUGUGCUUGAUGGUCACGGACCGUGCAACAACGGAGGCAAGAAUGCACAAUGGAGAAAAGACAGUCUCUCCAAUAAAUGGUGUUUAAAAAAGCAAAACAAAGCGGACAGCACCAUGCAGAAGAAUGAAACUGGACCGCUUACUUACA